AGGGUGAUGGAUUUUACCAUGCCUCCAUCAAAAAGCAUUGGCUGACAAAGUUACAACGUCCCAAUGGAGACUCAAGACGGAGGAGUACAGACAUGCAGCCUGCCAGAAGAACGUCGCCUGCGAGGGGUUGCUAGCCUUGAGCUGUAGGCGCUGAUGCAUACGGCUAGUUCUGUCAGACACGGAGAGGUUUCCUUUACACCCUACAGUGUUUAUAAAUUGUGUUAAUCCUUGGCAUUCAGAACAUCAGGGAAUGACUAUAUGCUGCCAUGAAGAACUACAGGCUACUGCCCUCAGACCUUUGUAAGUUACGGCGUGUCAAGAGCGGCCAGGAGAAUCCAAAUGCCAGCGGAAAGGUUCUCUGCCUGGUCCUGAUGAGGAGGCUUCGGCCGUAGGAAGGUUGGCAGCGUCCUUACCGGACUGCCGAGCAAUAAGCCACAAUUCACGGACCGGCCAAGGAGAGGGGGAAUAGCGACUGGUAGCCCAGUCGCUAUGGCAUUGCUGUUGCUAGCAGGGCUCCGAGGUCUGUGUGAAGCCUCACCUGCCUGUUUGGAAUUUAAUUUUGGUCUGUUUACCUGGAAUAAGCACUGAGGCCUAAAAUAAGAAUUUCUGUGGCUAGACGGGUUACCUGUGACCCCACCUGUCUUUGCCUUGCUUUGCUGCUUAAUGUAACAACAGUAACUUGGGACCCCAGAAUAAAAACUGUUACAAUGUUUAAGGGAGGAUUUGCGUUUGCCCAGGAUAACGUUCCGAGGGCCGGCAACAUGAAGAGGAGCAGCUCAACCUGUUUUGUUGAUUUUGGUGAUGCUGUUGUAAGGAAGCGUGCCGGAGUCAGUUUCCCAUCAGCUCAGUCUCUCCAGAGUAUGGAGUUUUUGGAGGCCUUAGUGUUUAUCCUGCCUUGGCUGGACAGUGCUAUCUGAGAGUGUCUGUCAGCGGCAGUUUCCCUGAGGAGGACCAUCUGCCGAAGACUGGAGGUGGCCGGGUACCUGAGCGAGCCUGAUUGUACAGGAGGGCUGCUGUGACAUCCUUGCAAUGAAAUGGAGCCAGAGAGAGUGACUGAGGCAGCAUAGAGGGUCAGUCAUCAUUGCGGGAACAAUUACGGGC
rnacentral:lncRNA from 1 species